GUUGAGGUCUAUCCCGAUUGGAUCUUGCUGUAGGUUCUUAUCGUUGGAAAUGCCUCAUAGAGCAGAUUUGUGGUUUCGCUUUACCCACUAAACUAUGUGUUAGAUUAGUGGGAUAAAACUGCAAGACAAUA